rnacentral:rRNA from 1 species
AUUGAACGCUGGCGGCAGGCCUAACACAUGCAAGUCGAGCGGAGCGGCGGACGGGUGAGUAAUGCAUAGGAAUCUGCCUGGUAGUGGGGGAUAACGUACGGAAACGGGCGCUAAUACCGCAUACUAGCAGAUGAGCCUAGGUCGGAUUAGAUAGUUGGUGGGGGAAAGGCUUACCAAGGCGACGAUCCGUCACUGGUCUGAGAGGAUGAUCAGUCACACUGGAACUGAGACACGGCCCAGACUCCUACGGGAGGCAGCAGUGGGGAAUAUUGGACAAUGGGCGAAAGCCUGAUCCAGCCAUGCCGCGUGUGUGAAGAAGGUCUUCGGAUUGUAAAGCACUUUAAGUUGGGAGGCGUUACCAACAGAAUAAGCACCGGCUAACUUCGUGCCAGCAGCCGCGGUAAUUC